rnacentral:rRNA from 1 species
UACGAAGGGGGCUAGCGUUGUUCGGAAUCACUGGGCGUAAAGCGCACGUAGGCGGAUGUGUCAGUCAGGGGUGAAAUCCCGGGGCUCAACCUCGGAACUGCCUCUGAUACAGCACAUCUUGAGUCCGGAAGAGGUGGGUGGAAUUCCUAGUGUAGAGGUGAAAUUCGUAGAUAUUAGGAAGAACACCGGUGGCGAAGGCGGCCCACUGGUCCGGUACUGACGCUGAGGUGCGAAAGCGUGGGGAGCAACAGG